UUAAGUUCAGCGGGUAUUCCUACCUGAUCCGAGGUCAACAUUUCAGAAAGUUGGGUGUUUUACGGCAUUGGACGCGCCGCGCUCCCGAUGCGAGUGUGCAAACUACUGCGCAGGAGAGGCUGCGGCGAGACCGCCACCGUAUUUCGGGGCCGCCGCCCCCAAAGAGGAGGGGGCGGCCGAUCCCCAACGCCGACCCCCCG
rnacentral:misc_RNA from 1 species